rnacentral:rRNA from 1 species
CGCAAGCCUGACGGAGCAAGACCGCGUGGGGGAGGAAAGCCUUUGGGUUGUAAACCCCUUUUCUCAGGGAAGAAGAAAGUGACGGUACCUGAGGAAUCAGCCUCGGCUAACUCCGUGCCAGCAGCCGCGGUAAUACGGAGGAGGCAAGCGUUAUCCGGAAUUAUUGGGCGUAAAGCGUCCGCAGGUGGCAAUUCAAGUCUGCUGUCAAAGCACGGGGCUUAACUCCGUAAAGGCAGUGGAAACUGAAUAGCUAGAGUGCCGUAGGGGUAGAGGGAAUUCCCGGUGUAGCGGUGAAAUGCGUAGAGAUCGGGAAGAACACCGGUGGCGAAAGCGCUCUGCUGGGCCGCAACUGACACUGAGGGACGAAAGCUAGGGGAGCG